rnacentral:rRNA from 1 species
AUUGAACGCUGGUGGCAGGCCUAACACAUGCAAGUCGAGCGGAUGAAGGGAGCUUGCUCCUGGAUUCAGCGGCGGACGGGUGAGUAAUGCCUAGGAAUCUGCCUGGUAGUGGGGGAUAACGUCCGGAAACGGGCGCUAAUACCGCAUACGUCCUGCGGGAGAAAGUGGGGGAUCUUCGGACCUCACGCUAUCAGAUGAGCCUAGGUCGGAUUAGCUAGUUGGUGGGGUAAAGGCCUACCAAGGCGACGAUCCGUAACUGGUCUGAGAGGAUGAUCAGUCACACUGGAACUGAGACACGGUCCAGACUCCUACGGGAGGCAGCAGUGGGGAAUAUUGGACAAUGGGCGAAAGCCUGAUCCAGCCAUGCCGCGUGUGUGAAGAAGGUCUUCGGAUUGUAAAGCACUUUAAGUUGGGAGGAAGGGCAGUAAGUUAAUACCUUGCUGUUUUGACGUUACCAACAGAAUAAGCACCGGCUAACUUCGUG